rnacentral:lncRNA from 1 species
UAGUCUCUCAUAGAAACUUCUGGCCUCUGGACACUGUGGGAGCAACUUUUCCUUUAUUAGACUGUCUCCUCUUUAACUGUACCUAGAAGAUACUUUAGCACAGCAAGCAUCUCUUUUAUGCUUACAUUAUGCAGUUAUGCAGACUUGGUGUACGUCCUUCAAGGACAGUCUAAGAAUCUUUGAUUCUAUUUCUGCUGGAUACAUUGUUGCAGAGAUGAGAUAGACCAGUGCAAUGGACCUCAUAACCACAUACAAUCUAGUUUUAUGGGGAAACUCCUUGUAUAAAAGAAUAUUGCAGCAUGACUGGGAAGCCUGUCCUUCAUUACUUCAAUUGAAGAAGAAGAAUGGAGUCCAUCCGGUGGCUCCUGGCAGCAGCUGGAGUAGAGUUUGAGGAAGAACUUUUUGAAACCCAUGAAGAGUUUGAGAAGUUAAUCCAAGGUGGAACCCUGAUGUACGAGCAAGUGCCCAUGGUGGAAAUCGAUGGAAUGACUUUGGUGCAGACCAGUGCCAUCUUAAGAUAUGUAGCUGCAAAAUAUGACUUGUAUGGAAGGAACCUGGAGGAACAAGCCUGGAUUGAUAUGUAUGUAGAGGGCUUAAGAGACCUGAGCGACAUGAUAAUGUACUUUCCACUCUCUCUGCCAGAAGAGAAGGAGAUGAACCUUGAAUACAUCCUCCACCGAGCUACAACAAGAUUCUUCCCCGUUUAUGAGAAGGCCCUGAGAGACCACGGGCAAGACUUUCUUGUGGGCAAUCGGCUGAGCUUGGCUGAUGUCCAGCUCCUUGAAGUCAUCUUAAUGGCUGAAGAAUGCAAAGCCAGUGUUCUCUCGGGUUUCCCUCUGCUACAGGACUUCAAGGUGAGAACCAGCCAAAUUCCUACAAUUAACAGCUUCCUCCAACCUGGAAGCCAGAGGAAGCCUCCUUUGGAGGAGCGAUCCAUUGGGACUGCAAAGGACAUAUUCAAAUUUGAAUGAGGACUGUUUCUUAAAAACAUGAGCAAUAUAGUAGCUGAGUAUUAACAGCUACAGAGGCUGGAGUUACUCAGUAAGUAUACUGAGUAACUUGACACUGCAUUCAUAAAAAGACACUCACUAAGUAUAUGGCCAGAGAAAUAUCCUGAAGUUAGUAAUAAAUGUUAGGAAUCUUAGUAUGUUAGCAAUGUUAGAAUGUUAGUAAUGGAAAUAUUAAAUGUGUAAGAGAAAAACUACUAGAAGCUUAUCAAUAAACUACAAGAACCAACUCUUGUUUGAAGUAAGACAGGCUACCAAGACAGAAUUCAGAAAAUCCAAGGAGCCCUCGGCCUUCUGUAUGAUCCUAGAAUAAACUUGUAUGUAGCAAGUGAAA